GUAAAUCAAGCAAUACUUUUUGCAACUAAAAAAUAAUUUUUUUUAGUGCAAUUUUUUUUUUUUGAAUCAUGGAAAAAUAUGUUUUAUAUUUUAUAUUUUUUCUUGCAAUUCUCGUUGUGGACCACGUUGGAGAAGUUGAAGCCGUGAACAAGUUGGCGUGCCGCUUUACUGGUCGCAGAUUCAAGGGAAAAUGCGGAAAUAAUGGAAAUAGUAUAUGUACAAGGGAAGUAAAGGAGUUCAUAGCCAAAUAUCCAGACGAGAGCAAGAGCGUUCUAGGCGAGAUGCGUUGUAAUUGUACUAACAUUCCAGUCAAGGCAAACGAGGAAAUCAGACGUGAAUGUAGCUGUAGAUAUGAUUGCAACUUUCACUAAAUAAAAUACCUACAACCAAAAUAUAUGUACUAAAAUGAAGGAAAAAGAUUCUAGAGAUUUUAAUAUCGAUUUGAUAAAAAUCCAUAUCAGUCUAAUGUUUUUGCAAAUUUGAUUAAUUUUUUUCUAAAGAUUA